CUGAGAGGUGUGAUUUCACAGGCUGGCUCCCCCCUGUCAGGGCCCUGAUUGGGCCGGACAGGAGGCGCAGGAGAGGCCCUGGCUUCUAAAAGACACCAACAGGUGGGAGGCCGCUUUGGAGGGGGGCGCUCCUGGCGGGAUAGAAAAGGCCGAUCUGCAAGGCCUGUUGUGGGCACAAUCCACCGGCCAGAUACGGAGGAGGAUGGUUGAUCGCAGGAUAGCUGAGCUGAACAGAGGAGAGGGGCAGCAUUAAGUUGGGAAAUGGUUCCCAGGAAGCUAAGGGUUAGUUGGAGAUGAGUUUUGGCUUUUAAUGGGUGGAAAGGGACAGCUUCAGUGACAAGGAGUAAGACUGGUCUGAGAGUUAAGUCUUUUAUGUGGUGUUUUUGGUCUUAGUGCCCCUUUUUAAAUCUUCUCGUUUUGACAAACAGCUUUUUAUAGGUAUCUUUUCUUCUUUGGAAAUGGUUAACAUUUGACCUCUACAAGCAGGCUUUAUAGAGACAAGCUUGUCUGUCGAUUUAAAAAAGUCUUCCAGAUUCAGAGGUUGCAGACUUCUGGUCCUUUGCUGAUCACCAUGUGUGUGAGUAAAAUCGGCCAUCAAUCCAGGUGUUAAAAGUUUUCUGUAAGCUUUACGACAGAUGCGGCACACUGUGGCAGAGCCUGACACCUCUGUCAGGUGAGGCGGGGGAGCUGAGGUGCGACACAGGAAAGAACCAGGACAUUCUCACAGGAGCAAUCACAGUCUAAUCAAAGCAGAACUGCAAGUCUUUCUAACGGCCAUUUGGUUCAGAGCUGCUUGAUGUGGCAGCGGUUAGAUAUAUCAAGGAAGUCACCAGUAGGCAGUGUAGGAGAUGCUGCCUGAACCCAAAGUGGCCUCAAGCUCAACUCCAGCUACUCACCACAAGAAAACCUCAGGAGGAGAUGCGGCAGAAUUCAGUAAAGCUGAAGCAACACGCCUUGCUGUGGCUGGUCAAACGGAACCAAGUCAGGUGUUUCUGUGAGGUUUGGUCCCCUUCAACCAGCUACUGCGUCGUGAAUUCAGUCAGCAGACACCAGCGUGGAAUCAAAGACACAGUGGCGUUGUAGCGUACGCUGCAUCCUUUAGAGGUGGUAGUCUGUUGACAGUGAUUAUUAUUAUUUCUUUCCCUUAGUGGUUUUGCUGUUUCCUGUAUUGCAAUGGAUGUUAAUAAAAAAUCAAUGACAACAUGCA